GCUGCCGUAGCUCAGUGGUAGAGCACCCCCUUGGUAAGGGGGAGGCCGAGAGUUCAAUCCUCUCUCGCAGCACCA
rnacentral:tRNA from 1 species